rnacentral:misc_RNA from 1 species
UGCGGCUGGAUCCCCUCCUUUAGAGACAAAAGACAGCACGAAGCCUGUCAGGCGUCCGCACAAGUGACCUGCAUUCACAGUUCCCGGUAACACCAGGGGUGUACCGCGGGAGCGUCCCGUUGCACAAUGGGGCUUAGCUCAGCUGGAGAGCACCUGCUUUGCAGCAGGGGUCCGUCGGUCAAUCCCGACAGUUCAACCAGGCAGCAAGGGAACACUUUGGGUCCGGACUUACGGGUUUAAACGCACCCCGAAUAGGUGAAGGCCGGGGUCCAAUCUCUCAGAACACCAAACCCGUCGAACUGUUUACUGGCACACACUAAAGAUUUUGAACGGAGCGGCGCUCAAACCCGAAUCCUGGUCUUUGAAACUGGGAAAUGUAACAGCGUUCUGAGAACAAAGUCUACACACAUGUCUUGAGGGUAAAGGGGGAACCCCGCGCAAACGUGAAAGAUUCCAAAAUUGAAAAGUCGUGAAAUCCCCGCCGGGAAUGUACUCCCUGGCCAAGAAAAUCCCGAGGGACCUGGGGUUAAUGGGCAACGAAAAAACCCACCGGGGAAGGCCUUGGGGGCAAAAGCAAUAAAGACUUGGCACCCUCAAAAAAGGGGGGGGAACGGCAAAAAAAAUUAUUCCCCCCAAGUCCAAAAGGGGAAAACCCCGAAACCCUUUGGAAUUCCGGCCGCCCCCGGGGGGGCACCAUAUGGGGAAAACCCCCCCCCCGGUGGGAGCGAAACACUGGGGAAAUUUCCUAG